rnacentral:lncRNA from 1 species
CGGGGCGCCAGGUACAGCCGGCGGGACGUCCAGUGCCAGCGCAGGAGCCGGGCGAGGCCGUGGCCUCCAGGGUUCCUGGGCGGAGGACAAGGCGCGCAGCCGCGUUGGCGCGAGUUUUAAAUCGGUGCCUUCUCAGCUUUGCAAGUUCUUAUCAAUUGCUGCAUGCCAGAGGAAGUUUUUAAAAAAUGGCCCCCAGCUCUAUUGCGGUGUAAUUGAUGGAUAGAAAUUGUAUUUAUUUAAGGUGAACAGCUGGAUGAUGUGAUGGAGGCACGCAGGGUGGAGGGGUUACCACAGUCUAGGUACUCUACACAUCCAGAGCCUCCCACAGUUGACAAAUGGAUUUUCCUAAUCAGUUUCGUCGUGUUUUGUACUUAAGUUGAGGAUUCCACACCGUGUGGUACUUUCAGAAGAGAUGUAGUGGUGAAUCAAUCGCAACGGUUGUGAUGUUUUCCUAAUUAGGUAUUGAGAAUUACCAUUGGUAUUUGGAAUUAGAUUGCGGAGCAUUUAGGAACCGUUCUCGCUAUGUUGCCCAGGCUGGUCUUGAACUCCUCAGCUGAAAUGAGCCUCCCACCUCGGCCUCCCAAAGUGCUGGGAUUACAGGCGUCCCCUCUGCCCCAGUACUGUUUCCUCUCCCCAGCCCAGCCCCCACAGCUGCCUGCCCUGGCCUCACUCCCUGGCCUCCCCCAUCCCAGCCUCUGGGUCCCUGAGUCAGUCCCUGGGGCUGUCUGCCUUCUAGGGGAGCCUCUGGUGUGGACCAGAAAGUAACCUAAUCCCUUCCAGGCCCACCCUGGAAACAAAGGGAUUUGUCCACUAGCCUGGUGGUGAGAACCAUGUGGCCUCCUGUCUCUGGCAGAGAGGACUCCAGGAUCAAGGGCAGGUAAAAGGAGGAGCCUCCUGGGGAGCUUCAGAAGGAGGGUCCCAAGUCCCUCCUGCCCCACUUCUGUGCCUGGGUCACUCACACCCCUGCCUGACUCUAGCCCCCCUUCUCCAGGGGUCUCCACAACAUGUGAAUCAUGCCCAGCGUCUUCCAUUACACCCUUGAUAAAGUCCUCUCCUCACCAGGACCUCUGUCAUUUUACCUCAUGGUUUUGAAAUAAUUUUUGGUCUUCUUAGCAGUUUAAAAAUAUUGUUUUGUUUUUUUUCCUGAGUUUGGAGCAUUCCUGUUACUAAUUACAUUUUUUUUUUAGACAGGUGUACACUACUACACCCAGCUAAUUUGUUUUGUUUUGUUUUGUUUUGGUAGAGAUAGGAUCUUGCUAUGGUACCCAGGCUGGUCUUCAACUCCUGGGCUCAAGCAAUCCUCCUGCAUUGGCCUCCCAAAGUGCUGGAAUUACAGGCAUGAGGCAGCACGCCCAGCCCUAAUUACUUCUAUUACGCCAAAUUCCUUGUGUGGAAUUCCUGUGCUUUGCACACAAAUUGCCAGGUUGGCCCCAAAGGGGAAAAAAGUGGAUCCCAUUUUCCCAUCUUCUAUGCCUACGUGGCUGACAAAUCUCCCGAAUCCCACAGGAGCUGUCGCUGAUCUUUGUCCUCUAUUCGCUGAAAUAAAGUUCACCAUGGAAAAAAAAAAAAAAAA